UAAUUUCAAUCCCUUGUGUGAAUGGCUGAUUACCACAAUCUGUAGCUUAAGUGCAGGCGAGCAGCAGCGCUGAGUCCUUCAGAGUGAACGACAACACGAGGGGGGAAAGAGUCGGCAUGGCCCAGAAAAAUAACUUCGAGUUCUCCAUCAGGGAGUUUCAACCCUCGGACGAACACGUGAUCCGCUCCCUCUUUCGCGACGGCAUCCUCGAACACGUUUACCCGGCUUUCUUCAAGGCCAUGAGCCACCCGGACCACAUCGGCAUCGCUCUGAGCAUCUCCAUGGCCGGCUACGUGCUGGGCGGCAGCUCCUACUUCCAGGCGCUUCUCUUCGGCAGCGCGUGGGCCGGCCUCAUUUACUACUGCUGCCAUGAGAUCUACGACGGCUACGUGGCGAGGAGGCUGAGCUCAGACAUGGCCGUCAUUCAGGCGCACUACCUGGAGAACCCCGAUAACGGUCUGUGGGUGGCCGAGGCGGACGUCAAAGGCCAGUCCAAGGUGGUGGGGAUGGUGGCGGUGACGGGGAAGAGGGGAGCGGAGGACGGCGAGAGGUUCGACGACUGCAACGGGAGCGUCUCGGGAGGGGGAGCGGAGUCCGGCCAAGACGCCGGCGACGGGAGCUACGCCGAGAUGUCGCACAUGGUCGUCGUGUAUCCGUGGCGACGCAAAAACCUGGGUUCGCGGCUGACGGGGAAGGCUCUGGAUUUCUGCAAAGACCGGGGCUUCUCCCGUCUCGUCGUGGACGUCAGCUCCCCGCAGACGGCCGCCGUUUCCCUCUACCAAAAGUUUGGUUUCAUUCAAACGUCGUCCCACAGAAACACACACACCAACCGCUGGUUCUCCAAACUGGCUAGAAUAAAUGUGAAUCAGAUGGAGAAGUUCAUUUAAUGCAAAGAUAGACUUCAGCGCCUCGUGCAGCAACAACUCGUCCUCAGUCCCAGCGCCUUCGAUAUAACACUUUGUCGCAGUUCUUUGGCGUCUCAUACAAAUGCUCAAGUUACCCUUCAGAGUCAGCAUUGCACUCGACGGGAUCAAGUUUAAGCACCUUAAACCCUCCUGUGGCAAAAUUAGAUGACAAGAGAAACCUAUGUUUUGUGACUUAGUGUAACAGUGGGGAGGAUCCAAUUAGGAUGACUGUUGUAGGGGAUGGAUGGCCCAAACAGAGAGAGGACUUUAGGACCCACUGGGACGGGGGUUUGAAACCAAAAAUAAACUAUGCAUUAAUGACUGAAACCAUCCCGUGAUGUAUUCCACUGUCAGGUUCACAGCACAAAAACCAUUUGAUAUUUAGUGCCUACACCUAACUAAAAGUAGCAUACAUUCUUUUAAAUACUAAAUUUCCCCAAAAACUUUUCUGAAACCUCGUCAUGUUUUUGUGCUUAAACCUAGCCAAAAGUAAAGUUGUUGUUUUUUUUAAACCUACCCCUAUAUGUUUCCUGAAACAUGUUUUUUAAAGAUUAUAUUUGUGGCUUGGCUUUCAUGCCUGUAGAGAAACACAGUGAAUAGAGAAGGAAUCUGGGACGAGAGCGUGGGGCAAAGCACCGAGGAUCACAGUCAAACCCAGGCUGCCCGGUUCAAGGAGUAUAGCCUCUUUACAUGGUGUGUGCCACAACCGCUAGGCUAAUUAGCGUCCUUGUUUUCCAUAAUCGUUAACUUUUGAAGUUUUUUGUGUGCGUAAACCUUACCAAAUGAACAUGACUUCAAAGCAGUCUCAACAUCUGUAGGACACAUAAAAGACUCAACCUUUGCAAAAAACUGCAGUUCCUGAAGUGUCCACUUGAGGCUGGCUGCAAAAAACCUCCGAAGUCCCAUUAGCAACCCCUUUAAAAGUGUAAAUUUUUACAGAAGUAAUAAGCGUGUUUAU